GAGUUUGAUUGGCUCAGGACGAACGCUGGCGGCGUGCUUAACACAUGCAAGUCGUACGGGGCAGCAAUGCCCAGUGGCGAACGGGUGCGUAACACGUGAGAAAUCUGUCCAUCGGCGGGGGAUAGCCGGCCCAACGGCCGGGUAAUACCGCGUACGUCGGCGGGGGCGCAUGCUCCUGCCGGGAAAGCAGCAAUGCACCGAUGGAGGAUCUCGCGGCCUAUCAGCUUGUUGGCGGGGUAAUGGCCCACCAAGGCGACGACGGGUAGCUGGUCUGAGAGGAUGAUCAGCCACAUUGGGACUGAGACACGGCCCAGACUCCUACGGGAGGCAGCAGUGGGGAAUAUUGCGCAAUGGGCGAAAGCCUGACGCAGCGACGCCGCGUGUGGGAUGACGGCCUUCGGUUGUAACACUGUCGGGGGACGACGACAAUGACGGUACCCC
rnacentral:rRNA from 1 species